GUGCUCGCUUUGGCGCACAUAUACUAAAACUGGAAUGAUACAGAGAAGAUUAGUAUGGCCCCUGCACAGGGAUGACACACAAAUUCAUGAAAUAUUCUUUU
rnacentral:snRNA from 1 species